rnacentral:rRNA from 1 species
GCUUACGGCCAUACCACCCUGAGCAUGCCCGAUCUCGUCUGAUCUCGGAAGCUAAGCAGGGUCGGGCCUGGUUAGUACUUGGAUGGGAGACCGCCUGGGAAUACCAGGUGCUGUAAGCU